rnacentral:rRNA from 1 species
CCGUAAAGGUGCGCCGCAGCGGACGCCUCAGGGCUUCGAAGAGCUGGGCGGCCGGAAUGGAGAGACGGGGCGUCGAUGAAGUCGGCUUUUGGAGCCUUGUAAACAGGUAGAACUAACUAACUAAAGAAGCUAGCGGUGGACGGUCAACUCAAGAGGCAGUCAAAGAGGGCAGAGGCGGCGCGAACGGGGGCGGGCUUAGAGAGCCGUCGAAAAGGGCAGCAAGAUGUCCGCCACCGUUCAAAAAAAGCGCUAAUCUUUAGGCGCUUUGUUACCCGUCCGCGUUGUCGACGUGGUAAAUACAUCCGUUAGAGGGACCCCUGUAAGCACUCUCCCUCCAACUCCUAGAGAAAAUGUUCAUACCGACAUAACAGCUAUAACUGAACUUCUAAGGAGGUUCCGGAGGACCAAUGCGAAAACAACUCAAACUCCUAGGGGCACUACGACUACUACGUUAAAUACCGGCACUACCCAUACUGAAACUGCCGACGUCCGACGCCCACCUUAAUCGAGUACCACCUUCUCGAGUUAGAAUGAGCAUACUAGCGGGUUCGUCGAAAUCGUUACCUGCGGCACCUCCACAAAGAUCCGCGAGACUCAAGGCUCAAUACCAACUACCAAAUGGAAGCAGUCGCAGUACCGUUCUAGAGUUCCUGGUAUACGCGGCCCGACCGCUACAGACAAAAAGACUACAUAUGGCGCUCCCGCCUCGUUGGCAACCUCAACACCUAAUAUGUUUGAUGCUACUGUACUUUAUACGCUAAUCCUUCGAGCUACUAUGUCUCAAGUCUUUACGUAAAAGUUCCCGUAUAUAGUCCCACUCCGUCAUACUACGAUCUAGUUCUUCGUCCUCGGCAUCGGAGAGAAUGAAUUCUUCAGCGUCGAUAUCGUCUAGACCGGUACGCCGCUAGACCCCUGACGAAGGUAUCUUUUAACCUACGCAACUCAAGUCGUACUACCAAACCUUGAUACCUAUCAUCUCGACCUAAUAGUCGUACAUACCGGUCACUCGUUGUUCAGGAUCGUCGUUCUACCAGGACUAUCAUUCCUAUACACCUCACCCAGAACACCAUAAGAAAUUUACUAUAAUUAAGAACCGAAUUUAAAGUAUAUUAGUGAUUUUCCGGGAACAAAAGUAAUUUGAAAUUCAAAACUCAAUCAAUUAGAACGUAAGAUGACAUCUCUUCUACUUACCCUUUACAACAAACAGUUAGUAAAAGACCCCGUUCAAACGAUUCUCCAACCGUAAAAAAAAAACGCCCUCGAUUCUCCAAUCGUAAUUGUUGACCUAUCUCUUCCUACUUCCCGUUUACCAAAAUACCCCGUUCACAUGUACGUUUCUCCAACCGUACUGUUUACGCCUACAUACAGAACCAAUGAAAGAUACAAGUCAAAGUAUAAGUCAUCAGUGUAGACUACUAUCCAUAUUUCUCGGUUUACGUAUUUAUACGUGACACUAUAGCGAGAGCAUAUUAGAUGAAUCGGACAAUAUAAGGUAUCUCCUACCCAUACCAACAGUCCAACCAAAACCACAAUUAAAACCUAAUGUGUUGUGAAGACUCAUUACUUGAACCAAAGACUUUGUAAAACGUCCAGUGACAGUUCUAGAGCCAGAGGACAAAGAAGCCAAAGACCUUUUAGGCACUCGUCUUCGGGAGCCUCGUCCUCGAAUAGGGCGAGACGUAGAGGACACUCCAGCCUAACUAGAACCCGCGUGGACCUUCGUCACUCACUGAUGAAGUCCUAGCGUCAAACGCAGCAUCCACCAACGUAUACGAAAUAGUACAAGACGUGUUGCGAUACAAACGCUCUGACCUCGUAACGCGAAUAGUACUACGGACGGACAGAUGAACAAUACACGAUACAAGAGUCUAAAUCUCAACAUAUAAGUCUCCUCUGGACAUGGAAAAGAACUUACUGAACCUCUAACUAGACGUCAAACACCAUUGAACUUAAGUCUCCUCUGGACGUGAACACCGUUACACAAUACAACAGUGUAAUACAAAAAGGCAUU